AGAAUCAACGCUGGCGGCGUGCCUAACACAUGCAAGUCGAACGAGAAAGUGGAGCAAUCCAUGAGUAAAGUGGCGCACGGGUGAGUAACACGUGACUAACCUACCCUUGAGUGGGGGAUAACCUAGGGAAACCUGGGCUAAUACCGCAUAAUACCUUCGGGUCAAAGGAGCAAUUCGCUUAAGGAGGGGGUCGCGGCCGAUUAGUUAGUUGGCGGGGUAAUGGCCCACCAAGACUGUGAUCGGUAUCCGGCCUGAGAGGGCGCACGGACACACUGGAACUGAAACACGGUCCAGACUCCUACGGGAGGCAGCAGUGGGGAAUUUUGCGCAAUGGGGGAAACCCUGACGCAGCAACGCCGCGUGGAGGAUGAAGUCCCUUGGGACGUAAACUCCUUUCGAUCGGGACGAUUAUGACGGUACCGGAAGAAGAAGCCCCGGCUAACUUCGCGCCAGCAGCCGC
rnacentral:rRNA from 1 species